AGGUCCAGCCUGCCCAGUGACAUAGUUUAACGGCCGCGGUACCCUAACCGUGCGAAGGUAGCAUAAUCACUUGUUCUUUAAAUAAGGACUCGUAUCAACGGCAUCACGAGGGCUGUACUGUCUCCUUUCUCCAAUCAGUGAAACUGAUCUCCCCGUGAAGAAGCGGGGAUUGACCUAUAAGACGAGAAGACCCCAUGGAGCUUUAAACCCAACACACACCCCUACGCACCCAAACCAAUACAGCCCAAGAGACUUGUGUGUUGGUUUUAGGUUGGGGGGACCGCGGAGUAAAAUCAAACCUCCAUGACAGACGGGCUAAUACCCUUAUCCAUGAACCACAAUUCUAAGAGCCAAUAAAUUGUUGUCUAAUGACCCAAUUACUUGAUCAACGAACCAAGUUACCCUGGGGAUAACAGCGCAAUCUACUUCAAGAGCCCCUAUCGACAAGUAGGUUUACGACCUCGAUGUUGGAUCAGGGUAUCCUAGUGGUGCAGCCGCUACUAAAGGUUCGUUUGUUCAAC
rnacentral:rRNA from 1 species